rnacentral:misc_RNA from 1 species
GGAGUAUAGAGUGGUGGGUACGUCGGGUCUCUUUACGGAAGGGCGUGUGAGUGGCAAUUGGAAUGUUUGUGCUGUCUGGCUCCAUGAUUGUGGUCAUCGAAUUUUCAGAACACAACCCUUCUCAUGUUCGCCUUGGGCCAUUUCCCCCACGGCGUUCACUUAUGGUUCUUGUGCUGCCUACCCGUUAAGGGGUAUUCAUGUGCCUAUUUUGAUCUUUUCCGUCCAAACCCCUUCUAAAGGUCUUUGGAGGAUUCAAAAGUGAUGCGUGUGAUGUGUAACCUGUGCAUUGAAAUGUCUUGCGUUCUCACACGUGUCUAGUGUUCCCUUGAAUGCGGUGCAUGUGGCGUGUGUGGGCUAAUAAUUCUGCCCCGUUAAGUCCCUUUAAUUUAUCGGUUCCCUCAAAUGACACUUUGCCGUUAUGUCGGUCUUGCUUAACCAUUUGGGGGGGCAACACUUGCACGUCAAGCAAAGUCGCUGUUG